CAAUCAAGCGAGCCAUCGUGAUUAGUGACUGUGCUAAUCAGCAUCACCCACAGAUCGUGGCUUUUCCCAGAAAAAAUGCCCUUCCUGAGGCUGGGAAACUGAAAUUUUUCUUGCGGUCUGUUGACAAGACAGGAUCCCGUCUCGCCUUGCGGAAUUUUUGCUAGACAGCUAACUCUGUCCCGGGGGGGUCAAGAGAAACCUGUCGCUGCCUGCUGUGUCCCAGACCCUGAACCACCUUGUCACCAAGCCCUGGAUGUCCCCAGACCUCCUGGAGAGCAGCUGCACUAACCUGGAGCCAGCCCCAAAAGCGGUGACAUCUCCACAGAAUCCUGGGCAUCCCGAGGAUGGAGCUGCUGGAAACCCCGGCGGAGGCGACAGGAGCAGGGAGAGGAUCCGGAAUCAAGUUGGUUCAACUCUCUGCCCAGAGAACUAUAAUAUAAUUUCUCUAUAGAUAAAAUGUAAACAUAAAAGAGCAUACAAAUUGCACUUGAUCCUCAGGAUCUGGCAUUUCUACCAAAUGAAGGUUUUUGUUCACCGUUAUCACUCUUCUGGGUGUGAAGCAGCAGGAUGGCGAGUGACCGACCGGCCACGGGCCAAACGGAAAGACAAAUUACUCCCAUUAAAAAAACUAAGUGACAUAUUGGAGAAUGAGAGUGGUGGUAGGAAAGAAAGACCUUGUUCACCCCGGAGAGCAGCAAAUGCUCAGGAGCUCUGUGCUCCAUCAGGCUCCAGCACUCCUGGAUCCAACCCCGGGGAGAAGGAAACCACCAUGACCUUACUCAGCAGAAGCUGGAUCCCAGUUCAGACUCCAGCACCCAGGGUCCUGCCACUCUGCACAGCUGGGAGAGAAGGAAGAUGCCAGGGCAGAGGCUGCCUUGGGGCCCUUUGCUCCAUCACCAUUUGGAGUCCCCUUCCCCGGGAGCAGGCUCCCAGGAGGAGCCGACUGCGAAUAUCUCCCUCAGCAUUCACUCCCUGUGUAAAUCUUUGCUAUUCGUCAUUAAUAAUUCACUUGCAAUACUUACAGAUGAUAAUAAACGGCUUACAAAACUCCGUA